rnacentral:lncRNA from 1 species
AAAAAAAAAAUACAACAAAAAAUAUAAAAAGGACAAAAAUUGAAUAAAAAUUUCAAAAAUGAAAUGGAAUGACAAAAUGAAAAAAAAUAGUUUAAAAAAUACAAAAAUUGAAAAACAUAUAAGACCUAACAAUAUAAAAAGUCAGACAAAAAAUUAAAAAAGAGAAAAGUUAAUGCAAAAUAAAAAAAGUAUGAGAAUUUAAAAACGCAAAUAAGAAACGAAAGGAAAUUUAUAGGAAAAAAAAGAAAAGCAAGAAAAGAAUAAAAAUGAAAAGACAAAAGAUUUGCAAUAAAAAAUAGAAAAAUAAAAUAUUUAAAAUAACGAAGAAAUUAAAACAAGUAAAAAUGAAAGCAUACGAAAAAAAAAGAAAGAAGAAAGAAAAUUGUGAAGGGAAAAAGUUAUUAAAAAAUUACAAAGUAGAAAAAAAUAAGAAAAUAAAAAAAUAAAAACAAAAAAUUUUGAACUUUAUAAAAAUGUUUUAAAAUAUAAAUAAAAAAUAAAUGAAAAAUUAUAUAAAAUACGAAAAAAGGGAAAAAUAAAUAAAUAAAUAAAGAAAAAAGAUAAAUAAAGCACAAAAAAAAUAAAAAAAAACAAUAAAACAAUAAAAAAUAUAAAAAGUAAGAAAACAAAAAAGGUCAAAAAUUGAAUAAAAAUUUCAAAAAGGAAAUAGAAUGACAAAAAAAAAAAAAUAGUUUAAAAAAUACAAAAAAUUGAAAAACAUAUAAAGACCUAACAAUAUAAAUAGUCAGACAAAAAAUUAAAAAAGAGAAAAGUUAAUGCAAAAUAAAAAAAAGUAUGAGAAUUUAAAAACAUAAAUAAGAAAUGAAAGGAAAUUUGUAGGAAAAAAAAAGAAAAGCAAGAAAAGAAUAAAAAUUAAAAGAAAAAAGAUUUGGAAUAAAAAACAGAAAAACUAAAAAUUUUAAAACAAUUAAAAAUGAAAGCAUAUGAAAAAAAGCAAAAAGAAGGAAAAUUGUGAAGGGAAAAAGUUAUUAAAAAAUUACAAAGUAGAAGAAAAUAAAAAAAUAAAAAAAAAUUUUGAACUUUAUAAAAAUUUUUAAAAUAUAAAUAAAAAAUAAAUUAGGGGAAAAAAUAAAAAAAACGAAAAGAAAAAAAGUAACAAAGUAAGAAAAUAAAAAAUUAGCGAAUCAAAAAAAUAUAAAAAGACAAAAUGAAUAAAAAUGAAAAAACCUUUUAGUUUAGAAUGUACAAAGAAAAACAAAAAAAAAAUAUAACAAAUAGAGGACAAAGAUAUAAAAUAUGAAAGAUGAAAAAUAAAAUAAAAGUUAAUAAAAAAUAUAAAUAAAAAUAAAAGAAAGUGCACAAAAAAAGAAGUUUGAGGUUUUAAAAUUAUAAAGAAGAAAUAAAAAAAAAGUGUGAACAAAAAGAUUUAACAAAAAGCAAGAAAAAAAAUAAAAAAGGAAAAUACAAAAUACAUAAAAUAAAUUUUGAGAAAAAAAUGAGAAAAAGAAGAAAAAAAUAAAAAGUGAAGAGGCAAAAAUAUGAAAGAAAAGAAAAAGAAAAAAAUUUAUAGAAUAUUUUAAAACAAAGGAAAAAGUGAACAAAAAAACAUGAAACCACAUAAAAAAAAGAAGAAAAAUUUGAAAGGAGAAAAAGCUAAUGAAAAAUUGUAAAAAUGCAAUAGAAAAUAACUGAGAAUGAUAAAAGAAAAAAAGAUAGAAAAAGAAAAAAUUCCAAAACUUUAUAAAAAUUUAUGAAACUAUAAACAAAGCAAGAAAAUAAAAAAUAAAAUAAAAAGAGAAAAAAUGAAAGCAAAAGAAAAAAGAUAAAUAAAGCCCAAAAAAGAGAAAAAACAAAAAUACAACAAAAAAUAUAAAAAGUAAGAAAAUAAAAAAGGACAAAAAUUGAAUAAAAAUUUCAAAAAUGAAAUGGAAUGACAAAAUGAAAAAAAAAUAGUUUAAAAAAUACAAAAAAUUGAAAAACAUAUAAGGCCUAACAAUAUAAAAGGUCAUACAAAAAAUUAAAAAAGAGAAAAGUUAAUGCAAAAUAAAAAAAGUAUGAGAAUUUAAAAAUGCAAAUAAGAAAUGAAAGGAAAUUUGCAGGAAGAAAAGAAUAAAAAUGAAAAGACGAAAGAUUUGGAAUAAAAGACAGAAAAAUAAAAAAUUUUAAAACAACGAAAAAAGUAAAACAAGAAAAAAUGAAAGUAUAUGAAAAAAAGAAAACAAGAAGAAGGAAAAUUGUGGAGGGAAAAAGUUAUUAAAAAAUUUCAAAGUAGAAAAAAAAGUAAAAAAGAUUCAAAAAAUAAGAAAAAAAAUUGAACUUUAUAAAAAUUUCCUGAAAUAUAAAUAAAAAAUAAAUGAAAAGAUAAAUUAAGGAAAAAAAUAAAAAUUAACAAAAAGAAAAAAGUAACAAAGUAAGAAAAUAAAAAAUUAGGGAAUCAAAAAAAUAUCAAAAGACAAAAUGAAUAAAAAUUUGAAAUAUAAAAUGGAAAAAACUUUUAGUUUAGAAUGUACAAAAAAACAAAAAAAAAAUAUAACAAAUAGAGGACAAAGAUAUAAAAUAUGAAAGAUGAAAAAUAAAAUAAAAGUUAAUAAAAAAUAUAAAUAAAAAUAAAGGAAAAUGCACAAAAAAAGAAGUUUGAGGUUUUAAAAUUAUAAAGAAGAAAUAAAAAAAAGUGCGAACAAAAAGAUUUAAGAAAAAGCAAGAAAAAAAUAAAAAAGGAAAAUACAAAAUACAUAAAAUAAAUUUUGAAAAAAAAUGAAGAGGCAAAAAUAUGAAAGAAAAGAAAAAGAAAAAAAUUUAUAGAAAAUUUUAAAACAAAGGAAAAAGUGAAGAAAAAUAAAUGAAAGCACAUAGAAAAAAGAAGAAAAAUUUGAAAGGAGAAAAAGUUAAUGAAAAAUUAUAAAAAUGCAAUAGAAAAUAACCAAGAAUGAUAAAAGAAAAAAAGAUAGAAAAAUAAAAAAUUCCAAAACUUUAUAAAAAUUUAUGAAACUAUAAACAAAGAAAGAAAAUAAAAAACAAAAAGAUAAAAGAUAAAUAAAGCACAAAAAAACAAAAAUACAACAAAAAAUAUAAAAAGUAAGAAAAUAAAAAAGGGCAAAAAUUGAAUAAAAAUUUCAAAAUUGAAAUGGAAUGACAAAAUGAAAAAAAAUAGUUUAAAAAAUACAAAAAAUUGAAAAACAUAUAAGACCUAACAAUAUAAAAAGUCGGACAAAAAAUUAAAAAAGAGAAAAGUUAAUGCAAAAUAAAAAAAGUAUGAGAAUUUAAAAGCGCAAAUAAGAAAUGAAAGGAAAUUUGUGGGAAAAAAAUAGAAUAGCAAGAAAAGAAUAAAAAUAAAAAGACAAAAGAUUUGGAAUAAAAAACAAAACAACAAAAAAAUUAAAACAAGUAAAAAUGAAAGCAUAUGAAAAAAAAAAGCAAGAAGAAGGAAAUUUGUGAAGGGAAAAAGUUAUUAAAAAAUUACAAAGUAGAAAAAAAUAAGAAAUAAAAAGAUUCGAAAAAUAAAAAAAAUUGAACUUUAUAAAAAUUUUUUAGAAUAUAAAUAAAAAAUAACUGAAAAAUAAAUUAAGAGAAAAAAUUAAAUAAAAUACCAAAAAGGAAAAAAUAAAAUAAACAAAAAAAAGUAACAAAGUAAGAAAAUAAAAAAUUCGCGAAUCAAAAAAAUAUAAUGAAACAAAAUGAAUAAAAAUUUCAAAUAUAAAAUGGAAAAAUCUUUUAGUUUAGAAUGUACAAAAAAAAAAAAAAAUAGCAAAGAGAGGACAAAGAUAUAAAAUAUGAAAGAUGAAAAAUAAAAUAAAAGUUAAUAAAAAAUAUAAAUAAAAAUAAAAGAAAGUGACAAAAAGAGAAGUUUGAGGUUUUAAAAUUAUAAAGAAGAAAUAAAAAAAAAAGUGUGAACAAAAAGAUUUAAGAAAAAGCAAGAAAAAAAUAAAAAGGAAAAUACAAAAUACAUAAAAUAAAUUUUGACAAAAAAAUGAGAAAAAGAAGAAAAAAUAAAAAAUGAAGAGGCAAAAAUAUGAAAGAAAAGAAAAAGAAAAAAAUUUAUGGAAACUUUUAAAACAAAGGAAAAAGUGAACAAAAAAAAAUGAAAGCACAUAAAAAAAAGAAUAAAAAUUUGAAAGGGGAAAAAGUUAAUGAAAAAUUAUAAAAAUGCAAUAGAAAAUAACCAAGAAUGAUAAAAGAAAAAAAGAUAGAAAAAUAAAAAAUUCCAAAACUUUAUAAAAAUUUAUGAAACUAUAAACAAAGAAAGAAAAUAAAAAAUAAAAAUAGAAAAAGAUAAAUAAAGCACAAAAAAACAAAAAUUGAAUAAAAAUUUCAAAAAUGAAAUGGAAUGACAAAAUGAAAAAAAAAUAGUUUAAAAAAUACAAAAAAUUGAAAAACAUAUAAGACCUAACAAUAUAAAAAGUCGGACAAAAAAUUAAAAAAGAGAAAAGUUAAUGCAAAAUAAAAAAAGUAUGAGAAUUUAAAAACGCAAAUAAGAAACGAAAGGAAAUUUAUAGGAAAAAAAAGAAAAGCAAGAAAAGAAUAAAAAUGAAAAGACAAAAGAUUUGCAAUAAAAAAUAGAAAAAUAAAAUAUUUAAAAUAACGAAGAAAUUAAAACAAGUAAAAAUGAAAGCAUACGAAAAAAAAGAAAGAAGAAAGAAAAUUGUGAAGGGAAAAAGUUAUUAAAAAAUUACAAAGUAGAAAAAAAUAAGAAAAUAAAAAAAUAAAAACAAAAAAUUUUGAACUUUAUAAAAAUGUUUUAAAAUAUAAAUAAAAAAUAAAUGAAAAAUUAUAUAAAAUACGAAAAAAGGGAAAAAUAAAUAAAUAAAUAAAGAAAAAAGAUAAAUAAAGCACAAAAAAAUAAAAAAAAACAAUAAAACAAUAAAAAAUAUAAAAAGUAAGAAAACAAAAAAGGUCAAAAAUUGAAUAAAAAUUUCAAAAAGGAAAUGGAAUGACAAAAUGAAAAAAAAAUAGUUUAAAAAAUACAAAAAAUUGAAAAACAUAUAAAGACCUAACAAUAUAAAUAGUCAGACAAAAAAUUAAAAAAGAGAAAAGUUAAUGCGAAAUAAAAAAAAGUAUGAGAAUUUAAAAACAUAAAUAAGAAAUGAAAGGAAAUUUGUAGGAAAAAAAAAGAAAAGCAAGAAAAGAAUAAAAAUUAAAAGAAAAAAGAUUUGGAAUAAAAAACAGAAAAACUAAAAAUUUUAAAACAAUUAAAAAUGAAAGCAUAUGAAAAAAAGCAAAAAGAAGGAAAAUUGUGAAGGGAAAAAGUUAUUAAAAAAUUACAAAGUAGAAGAAAAUAAAAAAAUAAAAAAAAAUUUUGAACUUUAUAAAAAUUUUUUAAAAUAUAAAUAAAAAAUAAAUUAGGGGAAAAAAUAAAAAAAAACGAAAAGAAAAAAAGUAACAAAGUAAGAAAAUAAAAAAUUAGCGAAUCAAAAAAAUAUAAAAAGACAAAAUGAAUAAAAAUGAAAAAACCUUUUAGUUUAGAAUGUACAAAGAAAAACAAAAAAA